ACAAAACAAUCUGAUUCUGAGAUGGAUUCCGAUUAGAAACUGGAGGCUCUGAUCGCGAUUUCUUUUCCAAGUGCCUCUCGCAACUUGAAAUUUCCGGCACCGGAAUUUGCGGCAUUGCUGGGAUUCUUUUCUAUUAAUCGAUUUUUUUGGAAGUAUGAACGACCAAGACCAUAGGAUCAUGAUAACCACUCGGCAAGAACAUGUGCCAUACUGAUCUGAAUGCUUUUGUAGUAUUUUUCAGUUUAUAUCUUGAAUAUUUGAUAUAUUAGCUAAGUUUUCUGGGACUGCUUCAAGUUUGCUAUAAGAUAUAGAACAAGUUGCUUUAGCCUAGGAAAGUUGCCAUUUUAAGCCCUCUAGGUUUUCAAGUUUGUCCUUCAAUCCGCAACACUAAGAGACUAAAGAGGCCACCAAUGUCUGGCUUCUAUGAAUGCAUUUUCUUUUAACUUUAGGACUUCAAGGACAUUGAUUUCUCUUACAAUAGUUAGUUCGCUCCCCUCUAACUGGUUCCAGAGAAGGUCAGCUUCCUCCGGGUUUUCAGAAGUAUGAAGGUCAACUUCCUCAGGGUUUUCAGAAGUAUGAAUAACCAAGACCACAUGAACAUGGUAACUAUUUGGCAAGCAAAUGUCACAACUUAUUUCAAUGCAAAUAUCCGUAAGAGAGUUUUCAGAAGAUGAUGAAAGCUGAAUUUUGCUAGAAUAAAGUUUUCAAGUCUAAAAGUUGCACUCAAGUAAUGAGUAACAAGAACAAGGAAAAAUCAUAACUGAAAAAUAUAGUGGACUACCACUUAUUCUGAAAAAUAUAGUGGAGUUACAAGCUCAGGUAGUCCAUCAUAUUUUUCCUUGUUCUUCUAACUCAGUAUUUGAGCAACUUUCAAACUUGAAAACCUUUUUAAAAGCAAAAUCCAACUUUAAUCAUCUUCUAGAAACUUUAGCUUAUUAAUAUUUGCAUUGCAAUAAGUUGACAUAUCUUCUUGCCGAGUGGUUAACAUGAAUUUGUGGCCUUGGUUGUUCAUACUUAUGAAGAUCCAGACGAAUCGAUUUCUUUGAAGUCUUAGAGUUGAAAGAGAAUGUAUUAAUGGGAUUCAUUGAUGGUCUCCAUAGUUAUGUGGAUUGAAGGACAAACUUGAAAAAACUCAAGGGCUUCGAAUCGCAACUUUCUGGGCUAAAGCAACUUGUUCUUAUGUCUUUUGGAAGCUUCAAGCAAUACCAGAAUGCUUGGCUGAUGUAUUCAACCUUCAAAGAUAUGAAACUGAAAAAUACUAUAAGAGCAUUCAGGUCAGCAAAAGAAAAUAUAGGAGAAGAAGCUGGAACGCGCGCCAACUCAAGCACUGAUUUAAAGCUCUCGAUGGUGCUCUUGAUUUUUUAUCAAUGCAGUAAUACACAGCUUGGGACUUUGAUGGAAGCCAUUGAAGCGGGAAAUGUAUUAAGAGAGCUACCAAGAGUCAAAAGAUGAAAUCAAGGAUAGCGAUAGCAUAAGCUACAAGGAGAGGUAGGUUUCAUACAACUGUAGUUAUAGCGAUAACUGAUAAAUACAGAUAGUAUCGCACAAAUGUCCCUAGUGUAAAUACUUUUCAGCUGGGCAUAGUAAUCUCAUAUUGGAUGCUGUCCGAGUAACUAUUCUGAAUUAAAAGAAAUUCGAGGUUUUCUUUUAUA